GUAGGUGAACCUGCGGAAGGAUCAUUAACACGUUUCUAACGUUUAUCAACCAACUCUAACUGUAUUUCCCUAGUUAAUUAAGUAUCGUCAUUUUGUUAGUAUUCAGGUUUUGGUGAGGUCGCACCCCAGUUGGCAACGACAGGGGCAGUGGACAUGCCUGGAGAAAGCAAGUCUUAUUGGCAACGAUAAGACGGGCGAUGAAUUAUUAAUUAGGCUCAACUUCUCACCUACUUUCAACCACCUUGGAAGG
rnacentral:misc_RNA from 1 species